ACAAAUUAAACACCCUUUCAACUUAAAAUAAUCAUUUGGGUAUACAUAAUUUAAAAAAAAAAUAGGGAAAAUAUAUAUAUAUAUUUUACCUAUAAUAUACUUGUCAGGUUGUAGCAAUUAUUCAUCAUAAAUUUUACGAAACUGGUUUUUGGAAUUUAGUUAUAGGUACCUAUUCAAUUUUCGCUUAUUCUACUAAUUUUAACAGAAAGCAAUGUAAAACAUUCUACGUAAACUCAAUAAUUUCAAUAAUAUUAAGUUUUGCACAAGUUUAGAUUGGAUUAAUAUGCACAAAUUAGCUAUGGAAUUAUUUUGCUAUAACUGAAGAUUUUUAACCAAAAUUUAGUUUUAAUAUUGUUUUCCUUUGAAAUCUUAUAAUUUAUUUUUACCAUACAUAUGUUUUAUAGUUUGUCGAAAGUAUAUGAAAAUUCUUUUCACUUAUCAGAGUGUAAAAGUUGUAAUAUUUUUUAAAGUUUAAGGUUAAAAUUGUAACAUUUUUUUUUCAAGUUAACGAGUGCGAUUUGAUGAAAUUAAAGUUCAUAUAAAUUAGUUCAAUUUAACUGACAAUGAUCCCACACAUCAAAAAUAUAAAAAGACCUCACAAUCUAUAGAAAAGAUAUAUGAGUUAUUCAUCUCUAUCAUCAAAUUGAUAUUCAAAAAAAAUUUUACAAUUAUCUAAUGUGAUAUAUUUUUUAAUAAAAAUUAGAAUCUAACUCAACAAUAGUAAAACUUAAAAGACACUAUCUCUCAAUGGGUCGUUUGAUUGGAGGGAAAAUAGGGUGGGAAUGGGAAUGGGAAUGGGAAUGGGCUUACAAAACCCAUGUUUGGUUGGUGGGCUUUGUUCAUUUGCCUUGGAAAAGAUAAUUCCUAGGUUUUUUUUUUCCCACACAAAGAAAAGAAUUGAAUGCCCAUUGAAAAGUGUGGGUUUUCUUUUCUUCUUCCCCUUCCUAUCACGAAAUUUCUUCCUUCCAGCCAUGAAAAUCGACCUCUCUGCUUUGAGUGCCGACCAUCUCUUUGCUUCGAUGCUAGCCAUUUCUAUACAUUUUUCUGCUUCGAUCUCUCUUCCUCUCUUCUCACUAGCGUGAUUUUUUGCUCCCCUAUUGGUACUUACAAUCUUUCCAUCUCCAUUUAUGUCUUUUUUCUCACUUCAAUUUAUGUCUUUAUUCACUGCUAUCUCUCUUCCUCUCUUCAAUGUCCAGUCACUGAUUUUAGCAUUUGGUACUCAGUAAAUUUGAAAUUAGAUCCAUGGUCAAAAUUCACUACUAUUGAACACCGCUGUCUUUAUUCACUACUGUCGAACACUGCUGUCUCUCUUCCUUUCUUCAAUCUCCAGUCACUGAUUUUAGCAUUUGGUACUCAAUAAAUUAGAAAUUAGAUCCAUGGUCGAAAUUCACUACUAUCGAACACUACUGUCUUUAUUCACCACUGUCGAACACUGUUGUCUCUCUUCCUCUCUUCAAUCCCUAGUCACUGAUUUUAUGUUGUAAGAAGAAGGAAGAAAGGAAGGCUAAACGAUCGUUGAGAGGUGAAGGCUAAACGAUCGUUAGGAAAAAGGCUAGACGAUCGUUGAGAAAAAGGCUAGAUGAUCAUUGUCAAAUAUCUAGACGAUCGUUGGGAAAAAGGUAAACGAUAGGACAAACGUCUACAUGAUAGAGGUAAGCGUGUAGACGAUAGGGUAGGAGACAAGAAGGUGAAGGCUAAACGAUCGUUGGGAAAAAGACUAGACGAUCGUUGAGAAAAAGGCUAGACAAUCAUUGUCAAAUAUCUAGGCGAUUGUUGGGAAAAAGGUAAACGAUAGGACAAGCGUCUACACAAUAGAGGUAAGCGUGUAGACGAUGGGGUAGGAGACUGCACGAUUGGGUUGAGCGUGUAGGCGACAGAAAGGUGAAGGCUAAACGAUCGUUGGGAAAAAGACUAGACGAUUGUUGAGAAAAAGGCUAGACGAUUGUUGUCAAAUAUCUAGACAAUCGUUGGGAAAAAGGUAAACGAUAGGACAAGCGUCUAUAUGAUAGAGGUAAGCGUGUAGACGAUGGGGUAGGAGACUGCAUGAUUGGGUUGAGCGUGUAGGCGACAGAAAGUACACGAUAGGAUGUAGACGAUAGAGGAAAUUUUCUAUACGUAGAGAGCAUAAACGAUAGAGAGAAUUGAUUAAGACAAAAUAACAUAGUCAAGCCUAGGGGCCGUUUGGAUUUAGUAAUUCAUCUGCAAGAAAUGUAAAAUUAAGAUGAAAUGUAAUAUGAUCGCAUUUGGGAUAUUACUAAAUUAUUUUGUAACAUAUUUCUUGCAGGGGUCGUUUGGAUUUUUUUUUUUAAUUCCCACA